AGAGCGAACGCUGGCGGCAGGCUUAACACAUGCAAGUCGAGCGGGCGUAGCAAUACGUCAGCGGCAGACGGGUGAGUAACGCGUGGGAACGUACCUUUUGGUUCGGAACAACACAGGGAAACUUGUGCUAAUACCGGAUAAGCCCUUACGGGGAAAGAUUUAUCGCCAAAAGAUCGGCCCGCGUCUGAUUAGCUAGUUGGUGAGGUAACGGCUCACCAAGGCGACGAUCAGUAGCUGGUCUGAGAGGAUGAUCAGCCACAUUGGGACUGAGACACGGCCCAAACUCCUACGGGAGGCAGCAGUGGGGAAUAUUGGACAAUGGGCGCAAGCCUGAUCCAGCCAUGCCGCGUGAGUGAUGAAGGCCCUAGGGUUGUAAAGCUCUUUUGUGCGGGAAGAUAAUGACGGUACCGCAAGAAUAAGCCCGGCUAACUUCGCGCCAGCAGCCGC
rnacentral:rRNA from 1 species